UACGGAGGGGGCUAGCGUUGUUCGGAAUUACUGGGCGUAAAGCGCACGUAGGCGGCUUUGUAAGUUAGAGGUGAAAGCCCAGGGCUUAACCCUGGAAUUGCCUUUAAGACUGCAUCGCUCGAAUUGUGGAGAGGUGAGUGGAAUUCCGAGUGUAGAGGUGAAAUUCGUAGAUAUUCGGAAGAAUACCCGUGGCGAAGGCGGCCAGCUGGGCCAGGUCCGACACUGAGGCGCGAAAGCGUGGGGAGCAAACAGG
rnacentral:rRNA from 1 species